UUUCUUCGAGAAACAGAGAGGAGCGGUGGGGCGUGAGGAGAGAAGAAAGAAGAAGAAGAGGGAAAAGAAGAGAGGAGGAAGAGGGAGAAGAGAAGAAAAGAAGAAGAAGAAGAAGAAGAGAGGGAGAGGCAGCAGCAGCAGCUAGGGCUGCUGCACCUCUGUUUCCAGCAGGUGGAAACAGAGGAGAGUAUGUGUGGGGCGUUGGGGAGGAGAAGAGAAGAAGAAGAAGGAGAAGAAGAAGAAGAAGAAGAAGAAGAGAGGAGGAUAGCUGCAGCAGGGCUGCAGCGAGGAGGUGUGUGGCGUUGGGGAGGAAAAGGGAAGAGGAGAAGAAGAGAAGGAGAAGAAGAGGGAAAAGAGAGGGAAGAGGGAGAGGAGCGAGAGGUGGCAGCAGCUAGGGCUGCAGCACCUCUGUUUCCAGCAGGUGGAAACAGAGGUGAGGUGUGGGGCGUUCGAAGAGGAGAGGAAGGAGAAGAGGAAGAGAAGAAGAAGAGGAAGCAGGAGAAGAGGUUGUGAUACCUCUGUUUCCUGCAGAGGAAACAGAGGAGAGGGUGUGUGUGACGCCGGGGAGGAGGAGGGAAGAAGAAGAGGAGAAGAAGAGAAGGGGAAGGAGGAGCUGCGGCUGCGGCAGUGGAAGCUGCAGCUGGAAGAGAAGGAGAGGAAGAGAUGGUGAGGAAGAAGAGAAGAAGUAGAAGCGGGUGAAGAGGCGGCACCUCUGUUUCCUGCAGGAGGAAACAGAGGAAAGGAGGUGCUGUUCGUCGGGGAGAAGAAGGGGAGGAAGGAGAAGAAGAGAAGAAGAAGAAAGGAAGGAGGAGGAAGAGGAGAAGGGAAAGAAGUAGCUGCGGUUGCGGCUGUGGCAGCUGCAGCUGUGGCAGGGAAAGAGGAAGAGGAAGGAAGAAGGGAAGGGGAGGAAGAAGAGAAGGGGAAGAGAAGGGGCUGCGGCUGCUGCGAUGGCAGCUGCAGUUGGAAGAGAAGAAGGAGAGGAAGAUGAGCAGGGGAGGAAGAAGAGGCUGCGGCCGUGGCUGAGGCUGCGACUGCAGCAGUGCAGCUGGGAAAGAAGAGAAGGAAAGGAAGAAGAAGAGAAAGGGGAGGAGAGGAAGAAGAGAGGAAGAGGAGAAGGGGUGGCAGCUGCGGCAGUGGCAGCUGCAGUUGGAAGAGAAGAAAGGAGAGGAAAUAGAGUAGCGGAGGAAGAAGAGGCUGCGGUUGUGGUGGCUGCGACCAUGGUUGCGACUGCGACUACGACUGCGGCAGUUGCAGCUGGGAAAGAAAAGAAAGGAAAGAGAGAAAAAGGGGCUGCGGACGGGAUUGCGACCGCAGCGGCAGCGACUGUGUAUGCAGCAGCUGUGUCUGCGAAAGAAGAGGAGGAAGGAAGGUAGUGCGGUGGAAGGGGCUGCGAUUGUACCAGCGGUAGCGGCGGCGGCUGUGGUAGCUGCGUUUGGGAAAAAAAAGAAGGAAUGAGAGUAAGAAAGAGUAGGUGACUGUGCCUCGAUAUUCGAGACGUGGUGUAGUUGCGAAGAAAGGAAGAAAACGGGAGCACAAAACGAAACAGAGAGAGGACACGGAGGAAAAGUAGAAGGAUUUGGGCUAGCACCUUCUUAGAAUCUUCGGAUCGAAAUCUUUGAAAGGUCAGCGUGUCACUCUUCGAGAUGUUUGAUUUGGGCUGAGGCAAUGGAUAGCUAUUCAAAAUUAUGGGCAAGUCUUGUUGGUUGUUAUGUUAUUGUUGUAUAAGCAUAUUUUGUAUGUAAUGAAAUGUUGUUGAUGAAUCGAAAUGGAUAUACUGUGUAAAAGUGUUAGAAGAUCUCUCUUAUUUGGAAUUUCGAAAUGUUAAGCCUAAUUUAUGAUGAUAUGACCUUGUGGUGAAUA